rnacentral:rRNA from 1 species
GACGAACGCUGGCGGCGUGCUUAACACAUGCAAGUCGAACGGAAAGGCCCUGCUUUUGUGGGGUGCUCGAGUGGCGAACGGGUGAGUAACACGUGAGUAACCUGCCCUUGACUUUGGGAUAACUUCAGGAAACUGGGGCUAAUACCGGAUAGGAGCUCCUGCUGCAUGGUGGGGGUUGGAAAGUUUCGGCGGUUGGGGAUGGACUCGCGGCUUAUCAGCUUGUUGGUGGGGUAGUGGCUUACCAAGGCUUUGACGGGUAGCCGGCCUGAGAGGGUGACCGGCCACAUUGGGACUGAGAUACGGCCCAGACUCCUACGGGAGGCAGCAGUGGGGAAUAUUGCACAAUGGGCGGAAGCCUGAUGCAGCAACGCCGCGUGCGGGAUGACGACCUUCGGGUUGUAAACCGCUUUCGCCUGUGACGAAGCGUGAGUGACGGUAAUGGGUAAAGAAGCACCGGCUAACUACGUG